AUUGAACGCUGGCGGCAGGCCUAACACAUGCAAGUCGAGCGAGCGGCGGACGGGUGAGUAAUGUAUGGGGACUGCCCGAUAGAGGGGGAUAACUACUGGAAACGGUGGCUAAUACCGCAUACUAUCGGCUGACCCAUAUGGGAUUAGCUAGUAGGUGGGGUAAAGGCUCACCAAGGCGACGAUCACUAGCUGGUCUGAGAGGAUGAUCAGCAACACGGGGACUAGGACACGGCCCAGACUCCUACGGAGGCAGCGGUGGGGAAUAUUGCACAAUGGGCGCAAUCCUGAUGCGGCCAUGCCGCGUAUAUGAAGAAGGCCUUAGGGUUGUAAAGUACGUUCAGCGGGGAGGCGUUACCCGCAGAGGAAGCACCGGCUAACUCCGUGCCAGCAGCCGCGGUAAUUC
rnacentral:rRNA from 1 species